UACGGAGGAUCCAAGCGUUAUCCGGAAUCAUUGGGUUUAAAGGGUCCGUAGGCGGCAUUAUAAGUCAGUGGUGAAAUCCGGCAGCUCAACUGUCGAACUGCCAUUGAUACUGUAGUGCUUGAAUAAUUGUGAAGUAACUAGAAUAUGUAGUGUAGCGGUGAAAUGCUUAGAUAUUACAUGGAAUACCAAUUGCGAAGGCAGGUUACUAACAAUUCAUUGACGCUGAUGGACGAAAGCGUGGGUAGCGAACAGG
rnacentral:rRNA from 1 species